UACGAAGGGGGGCUAGCGUUUGCUCGGAAUCACUGGGCGUAAAGCGCACGUAGGCGGAUUCUUAAGUCAGGGGUGAAAUCCUGGAGCUCAACUCCAGAACUGCCUUUGAUACUGAGGAUCUUGAGUUCGGGAGAGGUGAGUGGAACUGCGAGUGUAGAGGUGAAAUUCGUAGAUAUUCGCAAGAACACCAGUGGCGAAGGCGGCUCACUGGCCCGAUACUGACGCUGAGGCACGAAAGCGUGGGGAGCAAACAGGG
rnacentral:rRNA from 1 species